AGAGUUUGAUCCUGGCUCAGAUUGAACGCUGGCGGCAGGCCUAACACAUGCAAGUCGAGCGGAUGAGAAGAGCUUGCUCUUCGAUUCAGCGGCGGACGGGUGAGUAAUGCCUAGGAAUCUGCCUGGUAGUGGGGGACAACGUUUCGAAAGGAACGCUAAUACCGCAUACGUCCUACGGGAGAAAGCAGGGGACCUUCGGGCCUUGCGCUAUCAGAUGAGCCUAGGUCGGAUUAGCUAGUUGGUGAGGUAAUGGCUCACCAAGGCGACGAUCCGUAACUGGUCUGAGAGGAUGAUCAGUCACACUGGAACUGAGACACGGUCCAGACUCCUACGGGAGGCAGCAGUGGGGAAUAUUGGACAAUGGGCGAAAGCCUGAUCCAGCCAUGCCGCGUGUGUGAAGAAGGUCUUCGGAUUGUAAAGCACUUUAAGUUGGGAGGAAGGGCAGUAAGCGAAUACCUUGCUGUUUUGACGUUACCGACAGAAUAAGCACCGGCUAACUCUGUGCCAGCCGCCGCGGUAAUUC
rnacentral:rRNA from 1 species